AACGAACGCUGGCGGCAUGCCUAACACAUGCAAGUCGAACGAGACCUUCGGGUCUAGUGGCGCACGGGUGCGUAACGCGUGGGAACCUGCCUUUAGGUUCGGAAUAACUCAGAGAAAUUUGAGCUAAUACCGGAUAAUGUCUUCGGACCAAAGAUUUAUCGCCUUUAGAUGGGCCCGCGUUGGAUUAGCUAGUUGGUGGGGUAAAGGCCUACCAAGGCGACGAUCCAUAGCUGGUCUGAGAGGAUGAUCAGCCACACUGGGACUGAGACACGGCCCAGACUCCUACGGGA
rnacentral:rRNA from 1 species